AAACUCCAUUUAUUUGAGUUGUCUUAACUUAGAAAAACUAAGUAAACUGGAAGUUUUGCUUCUCAGUGCGGAAGGAUGAAAGAUGUGUUUUGAAAAUGCCACGUCACUACCGUCCUCCUCCCUCGGAUCAGUCCGCAUGUUCACGGUGCAUUUUUUAUGGAAUAUAUUGAGCAAACCUGGAGAAGCGUCAGCUCAAGAUAUUAUUGUUGUCAUUGCUGUGGAUCUUUACUGACUUGGCUCGGGACCAGCACUCCUGCUGUUGGACAGAAAGACAUCAACUUGAGAUAUGACUGCACUAUGCUGUUGCUGGUGACCACAGUUAAUUCUAGAAGACAUGCUGUGACACCAGGAGAGAUGAGUCCUCCGUCACAGAUGGUGUGAAGAUGGUCGCCUGCAGGUUCAAGCUCAUUGCAUCUCCAACCCACAUCCACUGCCACUGUACUUAAGGGAAGUUAAAGACUUUCUUCUGCACCUACAUUUGGAUCAUCUCGAUCCAUGAUAGUCAUUCAGGCAGUAAUGCCUGGACUGGAAACAAGCAUCCUUAAAAUAAUACAACAUUCCAGCUCAUGUGUUGGAAUGGAAAACAAAUGUGUUGUUUAAAUUAGAGACUGCACUUGUGACAGAACAACAAAUAUUUUAUUUUGAUUAUAUAAGUAAUGUAGUACAAAACAAACUGUGGUAGGCCUAAACUUAUUUUCAGAAUAAUUAAAUCUGAGACUUUGUUUCAUUGUAAGAUUAUAACAGUGAUGGCAAUAUAAUUGUUUGUUGUUCAGCAG
ensembl:lncRNA